rnacentral:rRNA from 1 species
ACGGGUGAGUAACGCGUGGGUAACCUGCCUCAUACAGGGGGAUAACAGUCGGAAACGGCUGCUAAAACCGCAUAAUAUAUAGAGACCGCAUGGUUUUUAUAUCAAAUAUUAAUAGGUGUGAGAUGGGCCCGCGUCUGAUUAGCUAGUUGGCAGGGUAACGGCCUACCAAGGCGACGAUCAGUAGCCGGCUUGAGAGAGUGACCGGCCACAUUGGGACUGAGACACGGCCCAAACUCCUACGGGAGGCAGCAGUGGGGAAUAUUGCACAAUGGGGGAAACCCUGAUGCAGCGACGCCGCGUGAGUGAAGAAGUAUUUCGGUAUGUAAAGCUCUAUCAGCAGGGAAGAAAAUGACGGUACCUGACUAAGAAGCCCCGGCUAACUACGUGCCAGCAGCCGCGGUAAUACGUAGGGGGCAAGCGUUAUCCGGAUUUACUGGGUGUAAAGGGAGCGUAGGUGGUUUGAUAAGUCAGAUGUGAAAGCCCGGGGCUUAACCCCGGGACUGCAUUUGAAACUAUCCAACUGGAGUGCAGGAGAGGUAAGUGGAAUUCCUAGU